ensembl:lncRNA
CAUGAAAAAGCCGUAUCCAAACUGUACUUUGAAGGCAUCAGAAAGUCCUGCUUUUGAAUGAUUUCCUUCCCAUUGCAACUCCCAAAUCCGGUCCAGCAAGAGGCCUGACGUUGAGUGGCUCCUCAAGCAUUCAGAUGUGUCUGAGCAAACACAAGAGGCAAUCAAAUUACCUGAACACCGGCCACUUCAGAGUGCUCACUUGAGAUGACAGUUUCAGCUUCAAAAGAGAUGGAGGCACUGAGGCUCAGAGAGGUUACAUAACUUGCUCAGGAUUUAUGGCUGCUUAUACGUGGGACGCCUACCACAGCAUGGCUGUGUGGGACGCCUACCACAGCAUGGCUGCCAAGCAAUGCCAUGUCCGCACCCGGGAUCCGAACCAGCGAACCCCGGGCCGCCGAGAAGCGGAACGUGUGAACUUAACCGCUGCGCCACCGGGCCGGCCUCUCCAACAUCUCUUCUUAAAGAGAAAUGCUCCUUUUCAAAGAGGAAUUUGAAGACGAUGGGUUAGUUCCUGAUCAAUUAAGUGGAGUCAUAUAGACAGAUUAUAGAACAUCGGCACCCCAAACUGCCUUAUCAUCAUCGUCAUCCUCAUCCUCAUCAUCAUCAUUACUACCAUCAUCAUCAUCAUCUUCAAGCCUUCAACAAAACCGAUUCCCCGGUCACAGUCUUCAGGGGGUGGAACUUGAUAAUCUUUCCUCUUUCCCAGGGGAUUCAGGAUGUGCUCUGCCCUUUUGGGGAGCUACUAACCCCAGAGUGUUCCAUUUUCCGCAAUAGCCAAGCGCCCUGUAUAGGGUUACCAGAUAAAAUACAGGAUGCCUAGUUAAGUUUGAAUCUUAAAUAAGCAACAGAUACUAUUUUAGGAUAAGUUUGUCUCAAAUAUCAUACAGAACAUACUUGUGCUAAAAAAUUAUUCAUUGUUUAUCUGAAAUACAAAUUUAAGUGGGUGUCCUGUAUUUUUAUUUGCUAGAUCUGGCAACCCCAGUCCCACAACAACGCAGGCAUGUGAGGAAAAGAGGCCAACAUUUCAUGUACUUUCUAUUGCCCUCUGAGAUGCACAUAGCGCUCUUUUGGAAUAUUCUCCUCAAAAACAUGUUGUUAACUGGGGUUGGCUGAGGCUCCUGAGAUUUAAUUUCUCCCACCACAGACAUUAUUUUGUGUAAUCCACAAAUGAAGGUAGAUUUCAGUGUUGUGGUAGAAAAGAUUUUUCUUUGAGAAUUUCUGGCCCUUUAAGUUCCAGUUGGCCACCCUUUUGUCAUCAUACAGGGAACAACCUGAGGCAAAAUAAUGCUGCUCACAACUCAUCUCGACUACUCACGACUCCUCUCCACGACUCACCAGCAGCCCUGUUUCCCUAAGUUUGUGUCACUGUGAAUCCUCAGCCCUCUCUCCUCUUAUUUCUUUUUAUGAUCUGCAAAAGGCUGAGAAGAUGAAAAAAUGUUCUGAGCUUAAUCAAAAGCCUAUCUAAUAAUAAUAAGUCCUGCAGCGGGCUUGUAAAGAAUGCAGAUCAGACCCACUUAGCCAUAAUGGUUCUACAAAGUAAUGAAGACUCAAGUGGUCCUUAUUAGGUAUCAAGCUGUGAAUCAGAACUCAUCUAACAUCCUGAUUGCUAAAGGAAAUUGGUAAUUGAUGUGACAGAAUGGCCAUUAUUACUAUUAUUAUUACUUAUUAUUUUUUUUUAAAUCCAGACAUAGCGGCUAGGAGCCUGCCCCCAGCCUCCUUGGGGUAUACCAGGUGUGCAGGACCAGCGUGGCCAGAGCAAUCGUCUUAAUUAAUCAAAGCCCAGGAGCAGAGAUGAAGACAUCUUGCUUGGCAGUAGAGUUUGUGUCUGGGGAGGAAAGUGCAAUGGCCAGAACUCAUUGCAUGGUUCUAUGCAGCAACAAAAGGCCUGAGAAGCAAACCAGAACAGUGGCCAGAUUACCUGCAGAGAGAAAGCCACCUAAGAUGGAGGACUUUGGACGGUGGAGGGGAUGCUGAUGAAUACCCUCCUUCCCAACGACUCCUGGGUCAGCAACAGAACAAGGCAGAGUCUUAGUCUCUCCUGGAACAGGUCCUCCUGAGUGCCACAGAACACGCUCAACGUGACAGCCUCAACAAAAUGAGUUGUUGCGUGGAAAAGCAUCUUUCAGCCCAGAAAAACCAUGGAUUUGGGAGGAAAUACUCUGAGGAGAAAGAACUGGGUCCUGGUUCCCAGGACAGUUUUCAAGUUGCUUUGAAAGGGUGUGAUGGUUUUAAUGCCCUUAAUAGGGGCGUAAGCACCAUGUAAAGAAGUUCAUCAGCAAAGAGAAGCCUAGCAAGUUUCCUGGCUCUGGAAGGGGUGGAGGUCAAGACAGCAAAGAGGUGGAAGGGGUCUUAGGAGUUUUUUGUAAGGGUCUGGAAUUUAACUUAAGUCAUUAGCUAUUGGGCAUUAAAAAGGGGCUUUAUUUUUGCAACAGGAUUUAUGGCCUUUUAUAUGUUUAUUUUUCCUUCACUAUUAGACAUCCAAGG